rnacentral:rRNA from 1 species
GACGAAGCGAUAUGAAGGAAGUUUUCGGAUGGAAUUCAUAUUGACUGAGUGGCGGACGGGUGAGUAACGCGUGGGUAACCUGCCUCAUACAGGGGGAUAACAGUUAGAAAUGACUGCUAAUACCGCAUAAGCGCACAGAAUCGCAUGAUUCGGUGUGAAAAACUCCGGUGGUAUGAGAUGGACCCGCGUCUGAUUAGCUAGUUGGUGGGGUAAAGGCCUACCAAGGCGACGAUCAGUAGCCGACCUGAGAGGGUGAUCGGCCACAUUGGGACCGAGACACGGCCCAAACUCCUACGGGAGGCAGCAGUGGGGAAUGUUGCACAAUGGGGGAAACCCUGAUGCAGCAACGCCGCGUGAGUGAAGAAGUAUUUCGAUAUGCAAAGCUCUAUCAGCAGGGAAGAAGAUGACGGUACCUGAUUAAGAAGCCCCGGCUAACUACGUGCCAGCAGCCGCGGUAAUACGUAGGGGGCAAGCGUUAUCCGGAUUUACUGGGUGUAAAGGGAGCGUAGACGGCAUAGCAAGUCUGAAGUGAAAGCCCAAGGCUCAACCAUGGGACUGCUUUGGAAACUGUUAAGCUAGAGUGCUGGAGAGGUAAGCGGAAUUCCUAGUGUAGCGGUGAAAUGCGUAGAUAUUAGGAAGAACACCAGUGGCGAAGGCGGCUUACUGGACAGUAACUGACGUUGAGGCUCGAAAGCGUGGGGAGCAAACAGGAUUAGAUACCCUGGUAGUCCACGCCGUAAACGAUG